rnacentral:rRNA from 1 species
AUAUUGCGCAAUGGGGGGAACCCUGACGCAGCAACGCCGCGUGAGUGAAGAAGGCCUUCGGGUCGUAAAACUCUGUCAUUAGGGAAGAAUAAAGUGACGGUACCUAAUGAGGAAGCCCCGGCUAACUACGUGCCAGCAGCCGCGGUAAUACGAAGGGGGUUAGCGUUGUUCGGAAUUACUGGGCGUAAAGCGCACGUAGGCGGAUUAUUAAGUCAGGGGUGAAAUCCCGCAGCUCAACUGCGGAACUGCCUUUGAUACUGGUAAUCUAGAGACCGAGAGAGGUAAGUGGAACUCCUAGUGUAGAGGUGGAAUUCGUAGAUAUUAGGAAGAACACCAGUGGCGAAGGCGGCUUACUGGCUCGGAACUGACGCUGAGGUGCGAAAGCGUGGGGAGCAAAC